GUUGGAGGCUGAUGGCCUAGCCCAUUGCCCCAUGCCUAGUCUCAUAGAACCUGGGUGGGACAGUGAGCUCUGGUCUCUUCCAGCAUGCCAGGGAGAAGUGGAGACCCUUGGACUGGAAGUGCUGGCCCCUCCUCACUCAGCCCCUUUCCAAGUACCUCAUUGCCAAGCACAGUGUGGGGAACUGAGGAUUCGGGGAAAAUAGCACAUGGCACCACCUGCUCAGGUCCACCCUAAUAACAUCAGCCAAGGCCUCUACAGCAGCCCCCAAGCUGCCUCUGGAUAGUUCAGACAAGGCCUCUGUGCUGUGAUGGAACCAGGUGACCCGCAGCCUCCGGGCCAG
rnacentral:lncRNA from 1 species